rnacentral:rRNA from 1 species
CCUACGGGAGGCAGCAGUCGAGAAUCAUUCACAAUGGGGGAAACCCUGAUGGUGCGACGCCGCGUGGGGGAAUGAAGUUCUUCGGAUUGUAAACCCCUGUCAUGUGGGAGCAAAUUAAAAAGAUAGUACCACAAGAGGAAGAGACGGCUAACUCUGUGCCAGCAGCCGCGGUAAUACAGAGGUCUCAAGCGUUGUUCGGAAUCACUGGGCGUAAAGCGUGCGUAGGCUGUUUCGUAAGUCGUGUGUGAAAGGCGCGGGCUCAACCCGCGGACGGCACAUGAUACUGCGAGACUAGAGUAAGGGAGGGGGAACCGGAAUUCUCGGUGUAGCAGUGAAAUGCGUAGAUAUCGAGAGGAACACUCGUGGCGAAGGCGGGUUCCUGGACAUUAACUGACGCUGAGGCACGAAGGCCAGGGGAGCGAAAGGGAUUAGAUACCCCGGUAGUC